AUUGAACGCUGGCGGCAGGCCUAACACAUGCAAGUCGAACGAGUGGCGGACGGGUGAGUAAUGUCUGGGAAACUGCCUGAUGGAGGGGGAUAACUACUGGAAACGGUAGCUAAUACAGCAUACCAUCAGAUGUGCCCAGAUGGUAUUAGCUUGUUGGUGGGGUAAGGGCUCACCAAGGCGACUAUCCCUAGCUGGUCUGAGAGGGUCACCAGCCACACGGGAACUGAGACACGGUCCAGACUCUGACGUGAGGCAGCAGUGGGGAAUAUUGCACAAUGGGCGCAAGCAUGAUGCAGCCAUGCCGCGUGUAUGAAGAAGGCCUUCGGGUUGUAAAGUACUUUCAGCGGGGAGGCGUUACCCGCAGAAGAAGCACCGGCUAACUCCGUGCCAGCAGCCGCGGUAAUAC
rnacentral:rRNA from 1 species